rnacentral:SRP_RNA from 1 species
GCCGGGCACAGUGGCGCAUGCCUGUAGUCCUAGCUACUUGGGAGGCUGAGGCUGGAGAAUCCCUUGAGUUCAGGAGUUCUGGACUAUAGUGCGCUAUUCCCAUCGGGUGUCCGCACUAAGUUUGGCAUCAAUAUGGUGACCUCCCGGGAGCGGGGGACCACCAGGUUUCCUAAGGAGGGGUGAACUGGCCCAGGUAGGAAACGGAGCAGGUUAAAACUCCCAUGCUGAUCAGUAGUGGGAUUGUGCCUGUGAAUAGCCACUGCACUCCAGCCUGGGCAACAUAGUGAGACCCCAUCUCU